rnacentral:rRNA from 1 species
ACACGUAGGGGGCGAGCGUUGCCCGGAAUCACUGGGCGUAAAGGGUGCGUAGGCGGGCCGCUAAGUCCUGGGUGAAAGCCCCCGGCUCAACCGGGGAAUGGCUCAGGAGACUGGCGGUCUUGAGGGCCGGAGAGGGUAGUGGAAUUCCCGGUGUAGCGGUGAAAUGCGUAGAGAUCGGGAGGAACACCAGUGGCGAAGGCGGCUACCUGGACGGUCCCUGACGCUGAGGCACGAAAGCUGGGGGAGCAAACAGGAUUAGAUACCCUGGUAGUCCCAGCCGUAAACGAUGGGUGCUAGGUGUGGGGGGUGUAGGCCCUCCGUGCCGCAGCUAACGCAUUAAGCACCCCGCCUGGGGAGUACGGCCGCAAGGUUGAA